AGUAACAUUUUAAAAAAGAAAUGAAGUCACCGGGUGGGAACAAAACAUUCAGAAAUAUAGAAAGAAAGAACAGUUUUCAGAGUUAGGUUUCUGGGGCUAAUUACAGUCCAUCGACACCUCUUCCUCCUUUCUGGAGCUCACUAUUCCUGAGCCCUUUCCUCUGGCUUCAUCUUUGCCUCAUUUUGAAAACUUGGGCUUUUUGGUUAGUGAGCGCUGUUCACUUGAGUGAAACAAUAACAGAAUCGUAGGUAAUUUCUCUUUACACCUUAACAACUACUGUAAGCCCACCUUGUGUAAAUCAGCCACGGACGGUGAAUGCAGGCACUGGAUCUUCCCUACAAGCUAUCCCUGGUGAACUGCUCUGGGUCAUCUUCUUGCUGUAGUUACUGCAUCACUGCCAUCUUGAUUUUGGCCCAGGGAGGUGUUGCUGCCCUUUUAAAGCUCUGGCCAGGGGGCCAUAGGUACCAAUUCUCAUUUGUGAGGAAUGGCACGCUCUCAUAUGCAACACAUAAUUUAUUGAGCACCUGCCAUGUGUCAGGCCCUGUGCUAGGUGCUGGGGGUGUGAUGACAAAGAAGGAAGACAUGGCCUCAUGAACAAGCUGGACUAUUUGGCUGAUAAAAUAUGGCUCUCAGCUUGGGGUUCUCUAUAGGGCUCACUGUUUCCUCCUCGCAAAGGCAAAUUUUCUCUUCCAUCCUCAAGUGUCCUCAAAUACAAUUAGCCUCUUUAGAAGUUACGGAGAGGGAGGCCACAAGACAAGUGGAUUCUCCAGCCAAGCUGAAACCCUCUCUGUGCCCUUCAAUGUGAAAUGUGGAAAACGCCCAAGAAGCAAGGCCCGGAUGCGAGGCAUCAGCUCUCCCUCGGAGCUCUCCUCCACAGGGAGCUGGAGGGUUGUGGUGGAUUUGGCUCCAGGCUUCAUCCCUUGAACCUUUCCUGCCACUCUUUUCAGAGGCCUCACUUCCUGGGCCUAAGUGGAAGCCACAAACCAUAAGCUCUUGCAAGCCCCUCACCACCCAGACCACAUCUCCCCGGACUUACUAUGUGUUGCUGCUUCCAGCUAUGUGACUUUACUCACACUAAUUCCCAGAAGACCAAGCAUUCGUACGGAUAACAUGAAAGGGUGUGGACGUGGACCAGGCACAUGGAACUCAGCCCUCUGGACACACGGGAAGCUUUUAAGAAGACACAGCACCCAAGCUCUAUCUUCAAGGGUGAGGAGUAUGCCAGACAUAAGACCUGAGAGGACAGCGGUCUACACAGAGGGAACAUCCUGGAGGGAAUGGCACACAGCAGAGCUUAAAAUAAAGCAGCACAGAGACAGCUGUGGUCCAGCUGCCCGCCCUGUCGGUGGCAAUCGCCUCCCUGGUCAGGUUCAUCUCUGAACACCUGGUUGGGACAUGAGUGCAUCCUCCUAGGACCCAGAAGUCACUGAGCAGAAGUGCAGCAACGUGGCAAAACCAACAGAGCUGAAGCGGCACAGAACAUUCCUGGACAGGUCUGCGAGGGUGGGGCAGCCAGGAAGUGACAGCAUGAAGCCAAGCACACUGGGCUCCUCUCCAGAGAUAUAUGGCAAAGGUGCGAGCUUUAGAGACAGGAAUGUUGGGAUUCCUCUCCUGGUUCUUCCACUUAAUGGCUGCUUGAUUCUGAACCUUAUCAGAGUAUCAACCUUAUCAGAGUAUUAUCAAUUUACAUCUAUAAAAUGGGAAGAUCACAAAAUAUAACUCCCAGGGUUAUGAGUCUGCAUGAGCUAGCUUGGAUAAAUGUUUAGCGCUGUGCGUGGCAUACUGUAGCUUCUUUUCUAGACCUGUGGAAAGAAUUGCAUAAAGGAGGCAGUGAUUGACCCCUCAACUCAAUGGCGACCUUGCAGAGAGAGAGAGGUUUAAUCCACCUAGGGAGACUCCUCUGCAAUUAGUGGCACAACAGUAAGGUCCUUAAAGAGAAUCACUAACAUCAAGGAAAGAUCAUGAACUUUUGCUUGUCAAAAAUAGUGGAAGAAUGGGGCUGGCCCUGUGGCCGAGUGGUUAAGUUCGCACGCUCCGCUGCAGGCGGCCCAGUGUUUCGUCGGUUC